rnacentral:rRNA from 1 species
CUACGGGCGGCAGCAGUGAGGAAUUUUGCGCAAUGGGGGAAACCCUGACGCAGCAACGCCGCGUGAGUGAUGAAGGCCCUCGGGUCGUAAAGCUCUGUCAAGUGGGAAGAACCUAUCGAUAUUGAAUAGAUAUUCAUACUGACGGUACCACAAGAGGAAGCACCGGCUAACUCCGUGCCAGCAGCCGCGGUAAUACGGGGGGUGCAAGCGUUAUUCGGAAUCAUUGGGCGUAAAGGGCGCGCAGGCGGCCUUGUCAAUCAGAUGUGAAAGCCCGGGGCUCAACCCCGGAAGUGCAUUUGAAACUAUGAGGCUUGAGUAUGGGAGAGGGAAGUGGAAUUCCUGGUGUAGCGGUGAAAUGCGUAGAUAUCAGGAGGAACACCGGUGGCGAAGGCGACUUCCUGGACCAAUACUGACGCUGAGGCGCGAAGGCGUGGGGAGCAAACAGGAUUAGAUACCCCUGUAGUC